rnacentral:rRNA from 1 species
AUUGAACGCUGGCGGCAGGCCUAACACAUGCAAGUCGAGCGGUAACAGGGGUGCUUGCACCCGCUGACGAGCGGCGGACGGGUGAGUAACGCGUAGGAAUCUACCCAGUAGCGGGGGAUAGCCCGGGGAAACCCGGAUUAAUACCGCAUACGCCCUAAGGGGGAAAGCAGGGGAUCUUCGGACCUUGCACUAUUGGAAGAGCCUGCGUUGGAUUAGCUAGUUGGUAGGGUAAAGGCCUACCAAGGCGACGAUCCAUAGCUGGUCUGAGAGGAUGAUCAGCCACACCGGAACUGAGACACGGUCCGGACUCCUACGGGAGGCAGCAGUGGGGAAUAUUGGACAAUGGGGGCAACCCUGAUCCAGCCAUGCCGCGUGUGUGAAGAAGGCCUUCGGGUUGUAAAGCACUUUAAGUUGGGAGGAAGGGGAGACAGCUAAUAUCUGUUUUCAUUGACGUUACCAACAGAAUAAGCACCGGCUAACUCCGUGCCAGCAGCCGCGGUAAUACGGAGGGUGCAAGCGUUAAUCGGAAUUACUGGGCGUAAAGCGCGCGUAGGCGGCUGAUUAAGACGGGUGUGAAAGCCCCGGGCUCAACCUGGGAACUGCAUCCGAUACUGAUCGGC